rnacentral:rRNA from 1 species
GAUGAACGCUGGCGGCGUGCUUAACACAUGCAAGUCGAACAGUGGCGAACGGGUGAGUAACACGUGAGUAACCUGCCCUCCACUUUGGGAUAACUCCGAGAAAUCGGGGCUAAUACUGGAUAGUGGGGGAUGGGGGCGGGGCCUAUCAGUUUGUUGGUGAGGUAGUGGUCACCAAGGGGUGACGGGUUGCCGGCCUGGGAGGGCGACCGGGCACACGGGGACUGGGAAAGGGGCCAGAGUGCUACGGGGGGCAGCGGUGGAGAAUAUUGCACGAUGGGCGAAAGCAGGAAGCAGCGACGCCGCGUGGGGGAGGACGGCCUUCGGGUUGUAACCCUCUUUCAGCAAGGAAGCGGUACUUGCAGAAGAAGCGCCGGCUAACUACGUGCCAGCAGCCGCGGUAAUAC